rnacentral:lncRNA from 10 species
ACCUGGGAUUCAGUUCGCCAGGCAGGAAGUGCAGUAGCAGGACUCUGGCUUUCCGGAGAGUCUCUGUUUUUCCUUUUUUUUUUUCCCUUUUCGCCCAAUAAAUACCAUUUUUCUCACCCUUCAAAGUGUCUGCAAGCCUAAUAUUUCAUGGAUGUUUGACAAGGACCCCGUCUUUAGCUGAACUAAGGAGAAAGUCCUGCAACACACACAUGGAGCUCAGCAAACGGAGGAUGUACCUUGAAGAGGCAAGAUGCUUCAGUUCUACAGCUGCAAGGAAAUCAAUUCUGACAACAACCACGUGUGCUUGGAAGACCACCACCACCAUCACCACCACCACCACCCCCCGCCCCGCCCCUGCCCCUCUGAGCCUCAGAUGGGACGCUAGACCCUCCCUGAUUAUAGUCUGCGAGACACUGAACCUGGACUCCUGGUCUAUGGGAGCUGUUUUAAGUUUUAAGCUGUUAAUUUUUGGUAAUUAGUUAUGCAGCAAAUGGCUGUGUUGUUAUUCCCAUCCCCCUCUUCCCACCUGUCUCCUUUAAAUAAAAACCAGCAUUUCAGGUCUGAACUGUCAUGACUCCAAUCUGCUUGUCAAGAUGGACUCUAAGUAGAGUCAGGUGAAGAGGCCAGGUUAGCUAUAUUCCUUCUUAUUUUCCAUCCUUCAGUCAUGGCCUGAGCCUUUUCCUUCCCUGAAAUCUAAUGAGAAUCACUCCUCAGCUGAUUAUCAUGGACUCGAUGGCUUGUCAUUAAGAAUACCUCAGCCACAGGCAGCAGUGAGAAGAGAAGUGAAGGAGGAGGGGUGUUUAGGAAAUGCCUGGUCCUGAGGGCGGAAGCAGUUUUGAAGUUGCACCUGCUCUGACAGAAAACUCGAGUGUAAGACUUACUGAUGUCAUUCUCCUCAGUUCUUCAUGGACGUAGGACUGUCAUGGGGAAAUUAGGCAAAGAUUCUGCUUUGGCAGGAAGAACUAUGGCUCCCUGCCCACAUCCCUUCGUUCAGCUCCCUCCCCCAUUGGCCAGAAUACACCAAGUUGUCAGCACCAGCCGGCCCGUGGCUAUUCAGAAUGUCUCUGGAAACCAUGAAGGCUAGGAGGCAUGAGAUCUGGGUGCUGGGGCUGGUGAGUCCUCUAGUAACCAACCCAACUGUAAAGAAGUAAUAAUAUAUGGCAUCUGCAUAAUGGUCUACGGCUUCCAACUUGCUUUAAGCUCUAUUUAUCCUUUGGGUCUCUCAUCAGCCCUGGAAGAAAAGCAGUUGUCUUUGUCAGGCCUCUGAGCCCAAGCUGAGCCAUCAUGUCCCCUGUGACCUGCACGUACACAUCCAGAUGGUGGGUUCCUGCCUUAACUGAUGACAUUCCACCACAAAAAAAGUGAAAAUGGCCUGUUCCUGCCUUAACUGAUGACAUUGUCUUGUGAAAUUCCUUCUCCUGGCUCAUCCUGGCUCAAAAGCUCCCCCACUGAGUACCUUGUGACCCCCACUCCUGCCCGCCAGAGAACAACCCCCUUUGACUGUAAUUUUCCUUUACCUACCCAAAUCUUAUAAAACGGCCCCACCCCUAUCUGCCUUUGCUGACUCUCUUUUCGGACUCAGCCCGCGUGCACCCAGGUGAUUAAAAGCUUUAUUGCUCACACAAAGCCUGUUUGGUGGUCUCUUUACACAGACGCACAUGAAAUUUGGUGCUGUGACUCGGAUUGGGGGACCUCCCUUGGGAGAUCAAUCCCCUGUCCUCCUGUUCUUUGCUCCAUGGGAAAGAUCCACCUACGACCUCAGGUCCUCAGACCGACCAGCCCAAGGAACAUCUCACCAAUUUUAAAUCGGGUAAGCGGCCUCUUCUUACUCUCUUCUCCAAGCUC